rnacentral:rRNA from 1 species
UACGUAGGGGGCUAGCGUUAUCCGGAAUUACUGGGCGUAAAGGGUGCGUAGGUGGUUUCUUAAGUCAGAGGUGAAAGGCUACGGCUCAACCGUAGUAAGCCUUUGAAACUGAGAAACUUGAGUGCAGGAGAGGAGAGUAGAAUUCCUAGUGUAGCGGUGAAAUGCGUAGAUAUUAGGAGGAAUACCAGUUGCGAAGGCGGCUCUCUGGACUGUAACUGACACUGGGGCACGAAAGCGUGGGGAGCAAACAGGAUUAGAUACCCUGGUAGUCCCUGAG